rnacentral:rRNA from 1 species
CCGAGAUUCCCUUAGUAGUGGCGAGCGAACGGGGACUAGCCCUUAAGUGGCUUUGAGAUUAGCGGAACGCUCUGGAAAGUGCGGCCAUAGUGGGGGAUAGCCCUGUACGCGAAAAUCUCUUAGUCAUGAAAUCGAGUAGGACGGAGCACGAGAAACUUUGUCUGAAUAUGGGGGGACCAUCCUCCAAGGCUAAAUACUACUGACUGACCGAUAGUGAACCAGUACCGUGAGGGAAAGGCGAAAAGAACCCCGGAGAGGGGAGUGAAAUAGAUCCUGAAACCGUAUGCGUACAAGCAGUGGGAGCCUACUUUGUUAGGUGACUGCGUACCUUUUGUAUAAUGGGUCAGCGACUUAUAUUCAGUGGCGAGCUUAACCGAAUAGGGGAGGCGUAGCGAAAGCGUCCUUUUGUAUAAUGGGUCAGCGACUUAUAUUCAGUGGCGAGCUUAACCGAAUAGGGGAGGCGUAGCGAAAGCGAGUCUUAAUAGGGCGUUUAGUCGCUGGGGAUAGACCCGAAACCGGGCGAUCUAUCCAUGGGCAGGUUGAAGGUUAGGUAACACUGACUGGAGGACCGAACCGACUACCGUUGAAAAGUUAGCGGAUGACCUGUGGAUCGGAGUGAAAGGCUAAUCAAGCUCGGAGAUAGCUGGUUCUCCUCGAAAGCUAUUUAGGUAGCGCCUCAUGUAUCACUGUAGGGGGUAGAGCACUGUUUCGGCUAGGGGGGCAUCCCGACUUACCAAACCGAUGCAAACUCCGAAUACCUACAAGUGCCGAGCAUGGGAGACACACGGCGGGNGCUAACGUCCGUCGUGAAAAGGGAAACAACCCAGACCGUCAGCUAAGGUCCCAAAGUUAUGGUUAAGUGGGAAACGAUGUGGGAAGGCUUAGACAGCUAGGAGGUUGGCUUAGAAGCAGCCCCCCUUUAAAGAAAGCGUAAUAGCUCACUAGUCGAGUCGGCCUGCGCGGAAGAUGUAACGGGGCUCAAACCAUACACCGAAGCUACGGG